GAUGAACGCUGGCGGCGUGCCUAAUACAUGCAAGUCGAGCGAACAGACGAGGAGCUUGCUCCUCUGACGUUAGCGGCGGACGGGUGAGUAACACGUGGAUAACCUACCUAUAAGACUGGGAUAAUCUCGGGAAACCGGCGCUAAUACCGGAUAAUAUAUUGAACCGCAUGGUUCAAUAGUGAAAGACGGUUUUGCUGUCACUUAUAGAUGGAUCCGCGCCGCAUUAGCUAGUUGGUAAGGUAACGGCUUACCAAGGCAACGAUGCGUAGCCGACCUGAGAGGGUGAUCGGCCACACUGGAACUGAGACACGGUCCAGACUCCUACGGGAGGCAGCAGUAGGGAAUCUUCCGCAAUGGGCGAAAGCUUGACGGAGCAACGCCGCGUGAGUGAUGAAGGUCUUCGGAUCGUAAAACUCUGUUAUUAGGGAAGAACAAAUGUGUAAGUAACUAUGCACGUCUUGACGGUACCUAAUCAGAAAGCCACGGCUAACUACGUG
rnacentral:rRNA from 1 species